rnacentral:rRNA from 1 species
CGUAGGGACCAAGCGUUGUUCGGAUUUACUGGGCGUAAAGGGCGCGUAGGCGGCAAUUCAAGUCGGCUGUGAAAUCUCCGGGCUUAACUCGGAACGGUCAGCUGAUACUGCUUUGCUAGAGUGCAGAAGGGGCAAUCGGAAUUCUUGGUGUAGCGGUGAAAUGCGUAGAUAUCAAGAGGAACACCUGAGGUGAAGACGGGUUGCUGGGCUGACACUGACGCUGAGGCGCGAAAGCUAGGGUAGCAAACGGGAUUAGAUACCCCGGUAGUCCUAGCCCUAAACGAUGAAUACUUGGUGUCUGGAGUUUUUAUCCUCCGGGUGCCGUCGCUUAACGUUUUAAGUAUUCCGCCUGGGGAGUGCGCACGCAAGUGUG